GACGGGUGAGUAACGCGUGAGUAACCUGCCUUCAAGAGGGGGAUAACAUUCUGAAAAGAAUGCUAAUACCGCAUGACAUAUCGGAACCACAUGGUUUUGAUAUCAAAGAUUUUAUCGCUUGAAGAUGGACUCGCGUCCGAUUAGUUAGUUGGUGAGGUAACGGCUCACCAAGACCGCGAUCGGUAGCCGGACUGAGAGGUUGAACGGCCACAUUGGGACUGAGACACGGCCCAGACUCCUACGGGAGGCAGCAUG
rnacentral:rRNA from 1 species